rnacentral:sRNA from 1 species
CAGAUUGGGAAACUCAUCAAAUUUUCACGAAAAGCCGAGACUACUUUCUUUCUCUGAUGGCGGGCCUUGUUCCGUAAGGAAGUCGAAAGACCGAAGGAUUACAAAGGAGGGAGAAUACUCAAAUCCUGUCUAUCGGAGUUUCAUCGCACUCUUUGAUGUGGUUUUUU